rnacentral:rRNA from 1 species
UCGAGCGCAGGAAGUUAUCUGAUCCUCUUUUAGAGGUGACGAUAAUGGAAUGAGCGGCGGACGGGUGAGUAACACGUAGGCAACCUGCCUGUAAGACUGGGAUAACUCGUGGAAACGCGAGCUAAUACCGGAUAACACUUUUCAUCUCCUGAUGAGAAGUUGAAAGGCGGCUUUUGCUGUCACUUACAGAUGGGCCUGCGGCGCAUUAGCUAGUUGGUAAGGUAAUGGCUUACCAAGGCGACGAUGCGUAGCCGACCUGAGAGGGUGAUCGGCCACACUGGGACUGAGACACGGCCCAGACUCCUACGGGAGGCAGCAGUAGGGAAUCUUCCGCAAUGGACGAAAGUCUGACGGAGCAACGCCGCGUGAGUGAUGAAGGUUUUCGGAUCGUAAAACUCUGUUGUUAGGGAAGAACAAGUGCCAUAGUAACUGAUGGCACCUUGACGGUACCUAACCAGAAAGCCACGGCUAACUACGUGCCAUCAGCCGCGGUAAUACCUAUGUGGCAAGCGUUGUUCGGAAUUAUUGGGUGUAAGCUUUCGCAGGUGGUUCUUUAUUCUGAUGUG